rnacentral:rRNA from 1 species
CAAUAGCGUAUAUUAAAGUUGUUGCGGUUAAAAAGCUCGUAGUUGGAUUUCUGCCGAGGACGACCGGUCCGCCCUCUGGGUGAGCAUCUGGCUCGGCUUGGGCAUCUUCUUGGAGAACGUAGCUGCACUUGACUGUGUGGUGCGGUAUCCAGGACUUUACUUGAGGAAAUUAGAGUGUUUCAAGCAGGCACACGCCUUGAAUACGUUAGCAUGGAAUAAUAAGAUAGGACCCCAGUUCUAUUUUGUUGGUUUCUAGAGCUGAGGUAAUGAUUAAUAGGGACAGUUGGGGGCAUUAGUAUUUAAUUGUCAGAGGUGAAAUUCUUGGAUUUAUGAAAGACUAACUACUGCGAAAGCAUUUGCCAAGGAUGUUUUUCAUUAAUCAAGAACGAAAGUUAGGGGAUCGAAGACGAUUAGAU